rnacentral:rRNA from 1 species
CCAGACUCCUACGGGAGGCAGCAGUGGGGAAUAUUGCACAAUGGGCGAAAGCCUGACCCAGCGACGCCGCGUGAGGGAAGAAGGUUUUCGGAUUGUAAACCUCUGUCCUUGGUGACGAUAAUGACGGUAGCCAAGGAGGAAGCCACGGCUAACUACGUGCCAGCAGCCGCGGUAAUACGUAGGUGGCGAGCGUUGUCCGGAAUUACUGGGUGUAAAGGGAGCGUAGGCGGGAGAGCAAGUCGACUGUGAAAUCUAUGGGCUUAACCCAUAGCCGCGAUCGAAACUGUUCAUCUUGAGUGAAGUAGAGGCAGGCGGAAUUCCUAGUGUAGCGGUGAAAUGCGUAGAUAUUAGGAGGAACACCAGUGGCGAAGGCGGCCUGCUGGACGAUGACUGACGUUGAGGCUCGAAAGCGUGGGGAGCAAACAGGAUUAGAUACCCUCGUACA